ACUGUGCCAGCCCUUUAUAAAUAAUAUUUCUUAUUUAACCCAUUCAAUGUAACUGCAUUGAGCUACUUACUAUUUCCCUGUUUCACAGAAGGGGAAACUGAGAGGUAGAGUGUAAGUAAUGUAUCUGUUGGUUACAUAUCUAGUGAAUGAUGGGGCCAGGGUUUACACCCAGGUAGUCUGACUUCACUGUUUGUCCUUUCAACACUGUACUGUAUUACCUCUUAAGACAAUUUACUGGAGUCUGGAAGGAUUCAAAAACAGAUCUGUUAUGUCAUUUGUAACUAGAUAUUCUGGUUAUGACCCUGUUCUAUCCACAUAGUAACCUAGAAAAAAGGAUGACUCAUGCUAACUUAUGCCCUCGUACCAGAUCACGGUUGUCAUCUUGGUGCCUCUCACCCAAACGUAAUAUACCGUGCCUGGAAGUUUACCUUUCUCAAAACUCAGACUCAAGGAGAGUAACUACAGCAAACAGUAGAGUCUCCUAACCCAUCUACCCAAUGCCCAGCUUCUUUGUUUCCUGGCUGACAGCUAACUCAGGUAAAUGAUACUGACAGUGACUUCCUUAUUCAUGCAUAAGAACAGCAGCCUAAAAAGGCAUAACUUUAGCCUUAGGAGUUCAACAGCAAAAAUACAGCAGAAUAUAAUACAAUUGCAGCAUCCCUAAAGAAAGGUACAUGUAUGUAAUACACAGAUAGUGAUUUGUUUUGCCUGUUCAUACUUGAUGAUUAAUUUUUGUUAGUAAAAUCUUAAUGAUCAGUAUUUCCAAAAUCAGUCUUUCCUGUAGUGGUAACCAUUUCUGUAAAUCAUUUAGAAAAUAAGAGUGGUUAUCAAUUUAUUAUUUGCUUAUUAUUUAUAUUUUACAAAGCUUUGGAAAUGCAAAAUUCUGUAAAACUUUUUGUUAUCUUACGUUUGUAUAAAAAGUCCUAAAAUGUAUGUCUUUGUUAAAGUGUUAAUCAAAUUUUUCAUGGUACCUUAUGAAUAAAAUAUGGUCCAGAUGCUAGCAUUGUUUGGUAGAUUUUGAAACUACAUGAUCAACCUUUUCUAAAGAUUAUUAGUUCUAUUUCAUUAUGAUUCUCUUUCAUUGUGAAAGAUAGAUUUCUAGCUGGAUCCUGUCCAUGUUCCCUAUUAUUACUAAUUUUCAUACAGAAGGAAUGAUUACAUGAAACUGUGAGGGGGAAAUAAUAACUAGAGGUUAAAAUAUAAAGAGUCAAAAGUGUAGUGACUUAAUGAGUGCUGUGCCAAAACAGAUAGAAAUCAAAGCUCCAUUUAAUGAGCACCAGUUCCAGACACUAUAGAUAUUUUUCAGGUUGUAUUUGUUAACCUAGGGAGGAUUGUACCUCUUUUUAAUCUCUCGGAUUCUAGGUUAGCCGUUUUUUGGGUAAUGAAUGAUUUUCUUUUUUUUUUUUUUAAUUUUUAUUUAUUUUUGAGACAGAGAGAGACAGAGCAUGAACGGGGGAGGGUCAGAGAGAGGGAGACACAGAAUCCGAAACAGCCUCCAGGCUCUGAGCGUUUAGCACAGAGCCCAAGCGGGGCUCGAACUCACGGACAGCGAGAUCAUGACCUGAGCCGAAGUCGGACGCUUAACCGACUGAGCCACCCAGGCGCCCCUGAGUGAUUUUCUUUUUUAGCAAAAACUAAUUUUUGAAGUCAAUUGAUCAAUGAAAAUAAUGAUCAUUAGUCCAAGUAUUGUUUUCAUUAGUUCUCUUUUACAUGAGUCCCAGUGAUUCCUUCUUUAAAGUGUUCUAACCCAACUUAAAUGGAUUCAUAAUCAUUAUAUUCUAAAUCACUAAAUCCUUAAAUUCUAUAAUUUUAAAUCUGCUCAAGCUCCCUUAUUUUUCAAGAAGAGAGAUUGAGCCUCAAAGAAGUUAAGUUGCAUAUCCAAAGUCAUGUCCCAUAGUAAUGACCUAGUCAGGACCAGAAUCCAGGUCUCUUGAACUCUUGUUUUACCUAUAGCGUGUCUUCACUCUCAUGCUUUCUGGCCUCUUUUUCUUGUGCUAUUUUCCGAAUUCUUUUAUGUUUACAUUGAAAAAUAAAUUCUCAGAGGCCCAUUUGGAGUUUGCCACGUGAAUACGAAGGUAUGCACCAACUUAAUGAAGUACAAUUUUAAGUUACAAAAUUAUUCUAAUUCAUGAUGAAACUCAAAUUAGUACUGAUAGUUCUACAUUAUAUUCCCCAAUAUUCAAUCUCAAAUGUGUGGCUGUUACUUCUGUAGAAGUUCAUCUUUAUAUUUAAUCCCUCAUGUGGCUUUUAGAAGACUAGAAGCUCAUCUUGAAAGAGAAGAUGAAAGACGAGUCAAGUGUGCAGGAUGACUAAAAUCUGAAGAGUAUGGCAUAGUGUGUAUUGGGUUUUCAUUUUGUUUCCGAAUGUAUUUUCUGUCAAACUUCAUAAUAAAAUCUCAGCAAAGUCUGUUUGCCUUUUCUCUGUCAGUAUUUCCUGUGUAUGCAUUUCUUUCUCCAUAGAACUGUCUUUUCCUUACAUUGGAAGAAUGUAAAAUGAUCUUCUAGAAGUUACUUCCUGUUUGGUUCAUAACAUAAAAUCAGUCCAAGCUCAAGUUAAAUUAGUGAAAUAAUUUCAAACGUCAUCUUUUUGAUGAAUAGGCCCAUGUUUAAUUUGCACUCUUUUUCUCUUUAUUUCAUUUUUGAGAAAAUUCUGCUGCUUUCUGUAGAAGUAAAAUUCCAGUGACAGUUUGUUUAUUCAUUUAUUUACUCAUUCAUCACCAUGUUCAUUGACCAAACAUUAAGUGCUAUACACAUACACAGACACAGUAUUUUGCAAGAUAGAUUUUAUUUCCAGACUCAUGGAAUUUAGAUUUCAACAUGGGAGAUAGACAUUGAUAUUAUUAGGUCUGUUGGCUAUUAAAAUAAUGUGUGAUAAGUGGUGAGAAUUUCUAUUUCUUGGUCCUCCUUUUCCCUUGGCUUCUUUGCCAUAUCCUAUAAGUUGAGUUUUAGUUUCUUUAUUGUUACAGGUUUUUUUUAUUUAAUAUGCAUACAUUUCAACAUUUUGCUUGAAAAGAGUGGUUUCCACUCGUAGGAGAGCAGAGACUCAGGUUUAUAGCCUGCCAAGACACAGCUCUGAUACCAGUUUUCUUCAGAUUGAAGAAACUUUAUUGUCAUUCCUAUCAUUUCUUCUGUGGACAAAAGUAUAGAAAAAGAGAUCUGGUUUAUACUCUCCAGUGACAAAAGAUUUCAAAGCAAGGAAGAUAUUGGGUAUAAAGAGCAAGAGUUGAAGAAUGCACAGUUGAACAUGAGAGGAACAGACAACUUGUCUUCCAAGAACUCAUUCAAAUUAUGUCUUCAGUUUGAAAGCUGCGAUGGAAGUUCAGUAACUUCAAAGCAUGCAUGGAAGUUUCUAUAUACACGCAGUGAAAUCAGCUGACAAGGUAACUGGGUUGGCAAGUGCUUCUGAGACUCCUGAGAAGUAAAAAUGUGAUCAUCAAAAAAUCCUGGAUAGUCUGUGACUGCUUCAUCCACAGAAUGAUCCCAGGGUACAGAGUGUUGGCCAGGUGGCCUGACUAGAGGUUCUCCGGAUUGGAUCUGCUGCUUGUGGACCUGCCAUCAAGGAGGUUGACUAAACAGACCUGAAAACAAGUAUAUUUCCCAGAAGUCACAAAAAUUCAAAGAUAAAAACAUUUGGCCUAAAUUUCAACAUUAGACCUUAGGUUUGGGACUUCGCCUUCCACAACUGUAAAACUAGUCAGACUGGAUGAUGAGCUCUUCUUUCUAGGCAUUGAGCAAUAGGCAGUGUAGGGCUGCCAUCCUUGAAAGAAGGGGAAGUAUAAAGCGAGCCCCACAACCUCUCCAGGUUUCUGCCGUGGAACACUUUCCUGUUGCAGUGCAGGGUGGGUAGAAUUCAGGCGAAGGUGCAGUCCCAUCCAGCUAGGGAGGCAGAGGUUAGAGUUCUGGGCUGCUAACAUGGCUGCAGUGUGUGAGUUAGUGUGCUAGAGAGGAAGGAACUGCACAGAGGGAGACUCCUAGAAGUCUGUGUGCAGGUUCGCCUCCAGUUCAGCUCCAGGCUAACACUGUACCUGAGCUAGACCGUACAUCACAAGGCCUAGCACCAGCCACCUGCUCUAAGGCUGAGAGCUGACAGGGAUACCAGCAGUCACCCAGUUCUGGGAGUUGUUGACAUUAGACCCUGCUGAGCACCUUGGUGAUUCUCUUGAUAUCCCAGCGAGGCCCUCCGUAAGAGUAAGGAUCACUUCUUAGCAUAAAAGCCAUAUCCUAGAACUAAGUUCAAAGUGAAAUAGACCUGCUCUAACAAAGAAUAAAGUGAAGCCUGAUCAAACCAAAGGAUUCUCCAGUAGUUUAAUGGCAACGUGUAGAGCAAAGCUCACCACCUGUGAAGAUGGAUGACACAAUACAGACUCCCUUCAACAUAUUAUCCACUCUGUCCAGCAUUCAAUCAAUGAGAAGUUCCUGGGCAUGUAAAAUAAAGAGUCAAAGUCAAAAGUAGGAAAAUGUGACCCAUAAUAAAGAAGUUGGGGCAUCUGGGUGGCUCUGUUAGUUGCACACCCGACUCUUGAUUUUGGCUCAGGUGAUGAUCUCAUGUUUCAUGCAUUCAAGCCCUACAAGACCUCCGCUCUGACAGCAUGGAGCCUUUGGAUUCUCUCUUGCCCUCUCUGUCUCUGUCCCUCCCCUGCUGUCUCAAAAACGGAAAGAAAGAAAGAGAGAGAGAGAGAAAGAAAGGAAGGAAGAAAGAAAGCAAAGAAGAAAUUAGAAACAGACUUCAAGAUGAACUAGAUGCACAAAUUAGCAGCUAUGGAUUUUUAAAGCAGCUGCUAAAGUAUGUUUUAAUAUUGAGAAGAAAAAAAAUGUCCAUAAAGAGUGAACAGAGAGAAUAUCAGCAGAGAAAAUAACAACUUUAUAAUGAAUAAAACGAAGUCUAGUACUGAAAAGUUCGAUAUCUGAUACAUAAAAUUACCUGGAUGAGUUCAGUAUCACUGGAUAGAGACUGUAGAAGAAAGGGCUAUGGAACCCGACGACAAAUACAAACACAGUGUGCAAUGCUGAAGAUUUAAAUCCCCUUCCCCCUCCUUUUGCUCUUCCCCUUGCCAAAAGAUAGACAAGUUACAUUAAAAGGUAGGCGAUAAUCUGGCUUUAGAUUUCUUAGCUAUGUAGCUACAUGCAAAGCUGUAAGAAAAUGGAGCAACUUGAGUUUUGAGGAGGUAGAGUUGUGAAUUGGGAUUUUCUCUGAUUCAUGUUUUUUUAAACAAGUUUGUAAAAGAUUAUGUUUAUAUGCCUUUCUUUUAAACUUAAAAAAAAAAAGCUGCUACUUAAAGACAUACUUUAGAAGACCUUGGGAUGUGGGGACAGUUGUACUAGAAAUGAUUGUCCUUUAUGGAACUCUCUUCUAAGGAAAUAAUCAAAAUGUGUGCAAAUAUUUUCGUACAUUUUUCGUUGCCAUAUGUAUUGGAAAAUACCUUAUUGUUGAGUAAGUGUUCAUAUAAGUAAAUAUGCAACCAUUAAAAUAUACUAACAACUGAUGUAAGGAAAUGCUUUUUUUAAUAGUGAGGAAAAAAGCAAGAUACAGAUUUGUAUACUAAAUAAAAAUUUAUAUUAAGUGGCAGGAAAUACGGAAAAUUUUGUCUCUUGAUUAUGGGAAUUCAUGAUGGCCUUAUUUUUCUGUUUGUAUAUUUCCAAAAUUUCUGUAAAGAGCACAUAAUUCAAACCUUAAAAAAUUAGAUCUGUGUGUAUACGGGGACAGUUAGAAGAGAUUAAUCUGAUAAUGCCUGUGAAUCUAUUAAUUGAGACUUUUUCAUCUAAAAAUUCUAAUUAUAAACAUGGAAGAAAGAAUGUAGCCUUUAAAAUAUUUUGGGAAGGUGCUCACUUUAGCACCACAUGUUACUAAAAUUGGAGUGACACAGAGAAGAUCAGCACGGCCCCUGCACAGGGAUGACACACAAAUUUGUGAAGCUUCCAUGUUUUAAAAAAUAAUAAUAGAAUAUUUUGGGGAAAGAUAAAAAAACAUUGUCCCAAGUGAAAGAUGACUUACACGAGAGUUUAUGCCAUGAUAUCAUGCAUAUGAAAUUCUAGAAUAGGCAAAACUGAUCAGUGGUGGGGAAAACACAUCAGAGCAAUGGUUAUUUCUAGGGACAAGGACAGGAAUUGAUUGGGAAGAAUAUGCACGGUCUUUCUUGGAUCAUGAUGAAUUUCUAUAUCUUGUUAAGGAUUUGAGUUGUGUAGGUGUGUACAUUGUCAAAACUCAAUAUAUAUUUAAGAUCUAUUCAUUUGUAUGUAAAUUUUACAUAAAAAGAAAAAUACUGCCAACAAAAAGGUGGGGAACAAAUAGUUUUGUGAAAAUGUACAAAGUCUACUCCUGCUGGCUUUAUCCUCAUAUCCUAUGGUCUUAGAUAAGUAUUCCAGAGUAAUAAGAUAGUUAUAAAUUCAAUGUACUCUAGUUAGCACCUUGUGCUUGCUUCUCUUAAUACUUGCUACAUUGCACUGGACUUAUUUCAUGCCUCGAAUGGACUGUGAACUCUUGGAGGGCAGGAAAUCCCUGCCUUCUGGCACAUAGCUGGCGUGUGCCCAAUAAAUAUUUAAUAGGUUAAUAAGUAAGUAUCCCUCAGCCCUUGUUCCCACCUCUUACCUGUAACAAAAAUGUUUCUCUAUUCAUUACAAUUAUUAGUUCUGUAUCUUUUUUUUUAUAAUAUUAAUUGGUAAGUGGAAUUAACAAAAUAGCAAAGUUAAUCUUUUAACAUUUGUUAUUUCAAGUUGUUUGUUCAAGGGGCUUGCUUAAAAUUGUAUCAAAAUGUUACAGUAGUGUGGCUUAAAUAUCUAUCUUUGAAAACUAUGAUUGAGUUUGUGGUCAGGUUGUGGGUCUCCAGUUGCAAAGUGUUUUAGGAGGAAAUAUUAGACACUAUAAUUAAAUCAUUUUGUGACAUUUAUAGUAAAGUUACUACAGUAAAAAAAAAAAAAAAAAAAAA